CCCGCGUACCGGGCCCCUCUGGCGAGCCGCAAGGCUCGUGAUGUCGGACGCUGCA
rfam:Erythrobacter sp. KA37 contig1, whole genome shotgun sequence.